AGGCUUGUAGCCUAGUGCUGAUGGCACCUGCUUAAGUGUAGGGGACCUUGGUUCGAUUCCUGGCAAGAUUG